AGAGUUUGAUCCUGGCCCAGGAUGAACGCUAGCGACAGGCUUAACACAUGCAAGUCGAGGGGCAGCGGGGUGUAGCAAUACGCCGCCGGCGACCGGCGCACGGGUGAGUAACGCGUAUGCAACUUGCCUAUCAGAGGGGGAUAACCCGGCGAAAGUCGGACUAAUACCGCAUGAAACAGGGAUCCCGCAUGGGAAUAUUUGCUAAAGAUUCAUCGCUGAUAGAUAGGCAUGCGUUCCAUUAGGCAGUAGGCGGGGUAACGGCCCACCUAACCGACGAUGCGUAGGGGUUCUGAGAGGAAGGUCCCCCACACUGGUACUGAGACACGGACCAGACUCCUACGGGAGGCAGCAGUGAGGAAUAUUGGUCAAUGGUCGGGAGACUGAACCAGCCAAGCCGCGUGAGGGAGGAAGGUACAGAGUAUCGUAAACCUCUUUUGUCAGGGAACAAAGGCGGGGACGUGUCCCCGGAUGAGUGUACCUGAAGAAAAAGCAUCGGCUAACUCCGUGCCAGCAGCCGCGGUAAUACGGAGGAUGCGAGCGUUAUCCGGAUUUAUUGGGUUUAAAGGGUGCGCAGGCGGUCUGUUAAGUCAGCGGUCAAAGCCCGGGGCUCAACCCCGGCCCGCCGUUGAAACUGGCAGUCUCGAGUUGGAGAGAAGUAUGCGGAAUGCGCGGUGUAGCGGUGAAAUGCAUAGAUAUCGCGCAGAACUCCGAUUGCGAAGGCAGCAUGCCGGCUCCACACUGACGCUGAGGCACGAAAGCGUGGGUAUCGAACAGGAUUAGAUACCCUGGUAGUCCACGCAGUAAACGAUGAAUGCUAAUUGUCCGGAGGGAUUGACCUCUGGGUGAUACAGCGAAAGCGUUAAGCAUUCCACCUGGGGAGUACGCCGGCAACGGUGAAACUCAAAGGAAUUGACGGGGGCCCGCACAAGCGGAGGAACAUGUGGUUUAAUUCGAUGAUACGCGAGGAACCUUACCCGGGCUCAAACGCAUGAGGAAUACAUUUGAAAGGGUGUAGCUCUACGGAGUCUUCUGCGAGGUGCUGCAUGGUUGUCGUCAGCUCGUGCCGUGAGGUGUCGGCUUAAGUGCCAUAACGAGCGCAACCCCUAUCGACAGUUGCCAACAGGUGAAGCUGGGAACUCUGUCGAGACUGCCGGCGCAAGCUGAGAGGAAGGCGGGGGUGACGUCAAAUCAGCACGGCCCUUACGUCCGGGGCGACACACGUGUUACAAUGGCGGCCACAGCGGGAAGCCAGGCGGCGACGCCGAGCGGAACCCGAAAAGCCGUCUCAGUUCGGAUUGGAGUCUGCAACCCGACUCCAUGAAGCUGGAUUCGCUAGUAAUCGCGCAUCAGCCACGGCGCGGUGAAUACGUUCCCGGGCCUUGCACUCACCGCCCGUCA
rnacentral:rRNA from 1 species